CCUUGCCUCAAAUAUCUGAACGAAAAUCAGUAGGAAAACAGUCCAAUUUAAGAAACCCAGCUCAACCUCCUGCAAUAGGAAAGGGGAAAGAACCCUCCCACCUCUUAAGAUGUAGGACCUGGCCGGCGCUGCGGCUCACUAGGCUAAUCCUCCCCCUUGCGGCGCCGGCACACUGGGUUCUAGUCCCGGUCGGGGCGUCGGAUUCUGUCCCGGUUGCCCCUCUUCCAGGCCAGCUCUCUGCUGUGGCCCGGGAGUGCAGUGGAGGAUGGCCCAAGUGCUUGGGCCCUGCACCCCAUGGGAGACCAGGAGAAGUACCUGGCUCCUGCCAUCAGAUCAGCGCGGUGCGCUGGCCGCAGCACGCUGGCCGCGGCAGCCAUUGGAGGGUGAACCAACGGCAAAAGGAAGACCUUUCUCUCUGUCUCUCUCUCUCACUGUCCACUCUGCCUGUCAAAAAAAAAAAAAAAAAAAAGAGUUUCCUUUUAGGUCUUUUUUUUUUUUCCGGUUUUCAAGGUUUUAUUUAAACACAAAUAAAAUACAAUGGCUUUGCGGUUCUUGGAGGAGACGUUGUGAGCAAUCUCUGCACAGUAGGAUUUGUUGCUCCCGUAGCCAAUGUUGGGCAUCAAGAUCUGGCCCUUGAAUCUUCUCCGCACCCUGUUGUCAAUACCUCUGGGUUUCCGCCAGUUACGCUUAAUCUUGACAUAGCGGUCCGACUGGUGGCGGAUGAACUUCUUGGUCCUCUUUUUGACGAUCUUGGGCUUCACCAGGGGUCUGAGGGCGGCCAUGGUGCCGAGGAGAGGCUCCUUUUAGGGUUUUAAAAAUGUUAUGAACUUGACAGAGGUGGUGUUUGCACAACAUUGUGAAUGUACUAAAUGCCACUGAAUUGUUCUCCUUAAAAUAAUUAAUUAAAUAUGUUGUGACUUUCACCUAAAGAAAAAAAGCUUCUGCAAUUUCAUGAUCAAAUCUUUUCAGUAGAAAAAUAACUCACAAUGGAAUAUUGCAUACACAUUUCAAAUGAUAUAGAAUAAGGACAUUCAAAUUUUCCAAUUUCAAUGGAGAUAUGUAGGAAUAAGGGUUUUUUAAUUUAUUAUUAUUUUUUUUUUAGAGAGACAGAGAAAGGUCUUCCUUCCAUUGGUUCACCCCCCCUGGCCGCUAUGGCGGGUGUGCUGCGCCAAUCUGAAGCCAGGAGCCAGGUGCCUCCUCCUGGUCUCCCAUGUGGGUGCAGGGCCCAAGCACCUGGGCCAUCCUGCACUGCACUCCUGGGCCACAGCAGAGAGCUGGACUGGAAGAGGAGCAACCAGGACAGAAUCCAGUAAACUACUGAAACUAAAAUGGCAUUAAUUCAAAUUGGAGUAAUAGAAGUUAAUAUUUCUAAUCACAAGGGCAGCCUCUAAGAGACAACUCAAAAACAUAUGUUGUUUCAUUCAUCUAUUUUACCUUUUACAAUGAAAAUAUUUUUAAUAUUUCAUUUUAUUUGAAAGAGAAAGAGACAGACUGACAGAUCUUCCAUCCACUGGCUCACUACCCAAAUGCUGCCAAAAAUUACAGCUGGGCCAAAGUCUGGAGCCCGGAAUUCAUCCAAGUGUUCCAUGUGGGUGGUAAGGACCCAAGUACUGGAGCCAUCACCACAGCUUCCUGGG
rnacentral:lncRNA from 1 species